GCGAUACAGGGUGACAGCCCCGUACACAAAAAUGCACAUACUGUGAGCUCGAUGAGUAGGGCGGGACACGUGGUAUCCUGUCUGAAUAUGGGGGGACCAUCCUCCAAGGCUAAAUACUCCUGACUGACCGAUAGUGAACCAGUACCGUGAGGGAAAGGCGAAAAGAACCCCGGCGAGGGGAGUGAAAAAGAACCUGAAACCGUGUACGUACAAGCAGUGGGAGCACGCUUAGGCGUGUGACUGCGUACCUUUUGUAUAAUGGGUCAGCGACUUAUAUUCUGUAGCAAGGUUAACCGAAUAGGGGAGCCGAAGGGAAACCGAGUCUUAACUGGGCGUUAAGUUGCAGGGUAUAGACCCGAAACCCGGUGAUCUAGCCAUGGGCAGGUUGAAGGUUGGGUAACACUAACUGGAGGACCGAACCGACUAAUGUUGAAAAAUUAGCGGAUGACUUGUGGCUGGGGGUGAAAGGCCAAUCAAACCGGGAGAUAGCUGGUUCUCCCCGAAAGCUAUUUAGGUAGCGCCUCGUGAAUUCAUCUCCGGGGGUAGAGCACUGUUUCGGCAAGGGGGUCAUCCCGACUUACCAACCCGAUGCAAACUGCGAAUACCGGAGAAUGUUAUCACGGGAGACACACGGCGGGUGCUAACGUCCGUCGUGAAGAGGGAAACAACCCAGACCGCCAGCUAAGGUCCCAAAGUCAUGGUUAAGUGGGAAACGAUGUGGGAAGGCCCAGACAGCCAGGAUGUUGGCUUAGAAGCAGCCAUCAUUUAAAGAAAGCGUAAUAGCUCACUGGUCGAGUCGGCCUGCGCGGAAGAUGUAACGGGGCUAAACCAUGCACCGAAGCUGCGGCAGCGACGCUUAUGCGUUGUUGGGUAGGGGAGCGUUCUGUAAGCCUGCGAAGGUGUGCUGUGAGGCAUGCUGGAGGUAUCAGAAGUGCGAAUGCUGACAUAAGUAACGAUAAAGCGGGUGAAAAGCCCGCUCGCCGGAAGACCAAGGGUUCCUGUCCAACGUUAAUCGGGGCAGGGUGAGUCGACCCCUAAGGCGAGGCCGAAAGGCGUAGUCGAUGGGAAACAGGUUAAUAUUCCUGUACUUGGUGUUACUGCGAAGGGGGGACGGAGAAGGCUAUGUUGGCCGGGCGACGGUUGUCCCGGUUUAAGCGUGUAGGCUGGUUUUCCAGGCAAAUCCGGAAAAUCAAGGCUGAGGCGUGAUGACGAGGCACUACGGUGCUGAAGCAACAAAUGCCCUGCUUCCAGGAAAAGCCUCUAAGCAUCAGGUAACAUCAAAUCGUACCCCAAACCGACACAGGUGGUCAGGUAGAGAAUACCAAGGCGCUUGAGAGAACUCGGGUGAAGGAACUAGGCAAAAUGGUGCCGUAACUUCGGGAGAAGGCACGCUGAUAUGUAGGUGAAGUCCCUCGCGGAUGGAGCUGAAAUCAGUCGAAGAUACCAGCUGGCUGCAACUGUUUAUUAAAAACACAGCACUGUGCAAACACGAAAGUGGACGUAUACGGUGUGACGCCUGCCCGGUGCCGGAAGGUUAAUUGAUGGGGUUAGCGCAAGCGAAGCUCUUGAUCGAAGCCCCGGUAAACGGCGGCCGUAACUAUAACGGUCCUAAGGUAGCGAAAUUCCUUGUCGGGUAAGUUCCGACCUGCACGAAUGGCGUAAUGAUGGCCAGGCUGUCUCCACCCGAGACUCAGUGAAAUUGAACUCGCUGUGAAGAUGCAGUGUACCCGCGGCAAGACGGAAAGACCCCGUGAACCUUUACUAUAGCUUGACACUGAACAUUGAGCCUUGAUGUGUAGGAUAGGUGGGAGGCUUUGAAGUGUGGACGCCAGUCUGCAUGGAGCCGACCUUGAAAUACCACCCUUUAAUGUUUGAUGUUCUAACGUGGACCCGUAAUCCGGGUUGCGGACAGUGUCUGGUGGGUAGUUUGACUGGGGCGGUCUCCUCCUAAAGAGUAACGGAGGAGCACGAAGGUUGGCUAAUCCUGGUCGGACAUCAGGAGGUUAGUGCAAUGGCAUAAGCCAGCUUGACUGCGAGCGUGACGGCGCGAGCAGGUGCGAAAGCAGGUCAUAGUGAUCCGGUGGUUCUGAAUGGAAGGGCCAUCGCUCAACGGAUAAAAGGUACUCCGGGGAUAACAGGCUGAUACCGCCCAAGAGUUCAUAUCGACGGCGGUGUUUGGCACCUCGAUGUCGGCUCAUCACAUCCUGGGGCUGAAGUAGGUCCCAAGGGUAUGGCUGUUCGCCAUUUAAAGUGGUACGCGAGCUGGGUUUAGAACGUCGUGAGACAGUUCGGUCCCUAUCUGCCGUGGGCGCUGGAGAACUGAGGGGGGCUGCUCCUAGUACGAGAGGACCGGAGUGGACGCAUCACUGGUGUUCGGGUUGUCAUGCCAAUGGCACUGCCCGGUAGCUAAAUGCGGAAGAGAUAAGUGCUGAAAGCAUCUAAGCACGAAACUUGCC
rnacentral:rRNA from 1 species